rnacentral:rRNA from 1 species
GAUGAACGCUGGCGGCGUGCCUAACACAUGCAAGUCGAACGAAGCGCUUUGAAGUUUUCGGACGGAAGAGUGACUGAGUGGCGGACGGGUGAGUAACGCGUGGGUAACCUGCCUCAUACAGGGGGAUAACAGUUAGAAAUGACUGCUAAUACCGCAUAAGCGCACAGCUUCGCAUGAAGCAGUGUGAAAAACUCCGGUGGUAUGAGAUGGACCCGCGUCUGAUUAGCUAGUUGGCGGGGUAACGGCCCACCAAGGCGACGAUCAGUAGCCGACCUGAGAGGGUGACCGGCCACAUUGGGACUGAGACACGGCCCAAACUCCUACGGGAGGCAGCAGUGGGGAAUAUUGCACAAUGGGCGAAAGCCUGAUGCAGCAACGCCGCGUGAGUGAAGAAGUAUUUCGGUAUGUAAAGCUCUAUCAGCAGGGAAGAAAAUGACGGUACCUGACUAAGAAGCCCCGGCUAACUACGUGCCAGCCGCCGCAGUAAUAC